UACAGAGGGUGCGAGCGUUAAUCGGAAUUACUGGGCGUAAAGCGUGCGUAGACGGUUAUUUAAGUCGGGUGUGAAAGCCCCGGGCUCAACCUGGGAAUUGCAUUCGAGACUGAAUAGCUAGGGUACGGUAGAGGGAAGCGGAAUUUCCGGUGUAGCGGUGAAAUGCGCAGAUAUUAGGAGGAACACCGGUGGCGAAGGCGGAUCUCUGGGCCUUACCUGACGCUGAGGAGCGAAAGCAUGGGGAGCAAACAGG
rnacentral:rRNA from 1 species